rnacentral:rRNA from 1 species
GACGAACGCUGGCGGCGUGCUUAACACAUGCAAGUCGUACGGUAAGGCCCUUUCGGGGGUACACGAGUGGCGAACAGGUGAGUAACACGUGAGUAACCUGCCCACAACUUUGGGAUAACGCUAGGAAACUGGUGCUAAUACUGGAUAUGUGCUCCUGCUGCAUGGUGGGGGUUGGAAAGCUCCGGCGGUUGUGGAUGGACUCGCGGCCUAUCAGCUUGUUGGUGGGGUAGUGGCCUACCAAGGCGGCGACGGGUAGCCGGCCUGAGAGGGUGACCGGCCACAUUGGGACUGAGAUACGGCCCAGACUUCUACGGGAGGCAGCAGUGGGGAAUAUUGCACAAUGGGCGCAAGCCUGAUGCAGCAACGCCGCGUGCGGGAUGACGGCCUUCGGGUUGUAAACCGCUUUCAGCAGGGACGAAGCUUUUUGUGACGGUACCUGCAGAAGAAGCACCGGCUAACUACGUG